UUGAACGCUGGCGGCAUGCUUUACACAUUCAAGUCGAGCGGCAGCGCGGGGGCAACCCUGGCGGCGAGCGGCGAACGGGUGAGUAAUGCAUCGGAACGUAUCCUCGAGUGGGGGAUAACCCAGCGAAAGUUGGGCUAAUACCGCAUGAGCUCUGAGGAGGAAAGCGGGGGACCUGCGAGGGCCUCGCGCUGGAGGAGCGGCCGAUGUCCGAUUAGCUAGUUGGUGGGGUAAAGGCUUACCAAGGCGACGAUCGGUAGCUGGUCUGAGAGGAUGAUCAGCCACAUGGGAACUGAGACACGGCCCAGACUCCUACGGGAGGCAGCAGUGGGGAAUUUUGGACAAUGGGGGCAACCCUGAUCCAGCCAUGCCGCGUGAGUGAAGAAGGCCUUCGGGUUGUAAAGCUCGUGCGGACGGAACGAAAUGGGCGGGACUAAUACUCCUGUCUGAUGACGGUACCGUAAGAAGAAGCACCGGCUAACUACGUG
rnacentral:rRNA from 1 species